rnacentral:rRNA from 1 species
AUACCGGCUGCUCGAGUGAUGGCCACUAUUUACUGGGUUUAAAGCGUCCGUAGCUUGACUGUUAGGUCUCUUGGGAAAUCUUCACGCUCAACGUGAAGGCGUCUAAGAGAUACCGGCAGUCUUGGAACUGGGAGAGGUAAACCGUACUUCGGGGGUAGGAGUGAAAUCUUGUAAUCCUCGAGGGACGACCUAUGGCGAAGGCAGUUUACCAGAACAGCUUCGACAGUGAGGGACGAAAGCUGGGGGAGC